rnacentral:lncRNA from 1 species
GGGCCCAGUCAAUGGGGGCCUGGUCAGCAGGGACAUGAAAUUAUCCUUGAACCAGAAAAAAAAAAUCCGCAAUUCAACACUCCACCUUUGUGAAGAGCUGGUUCCGAAUUCUGGGUCACUUUUUGGAAAAAAUAUCUGUUGUGGUAAACAGUGCUGCAUCUGUGAUCUCAAGUCUCUACUGGAAUUGGAUAGAGAUGGUGAAUUUCAGCCAGAGCGCCCAAAGAACUCGUGUCCCGCGCUCCUGAAUGCCAUCAGCCGCCGCACCUCCAUCUUCCCUCCUCCCACGAGUCUCCUGCUCCCCGUGACUCUGGCCUCCUCGCAGUGUUGCUGGGCCACGUCAGGAAGUGCUGGAGGACGUGGCAUUGCACCAACACCAGGCGGCCAGCCGUGUGGCUCAUCCCGCAAAUCAGGCUCUUCCUGUGCAUGGAGAUGGAGUCCCUCUGGAGGCAGCCCGUGGCCCUAUUCUC